AUUGCUUAAGUAAGGUAGUCGCUUCUUUUUUUCGGUAUGCCGCUCCGCGAGCAAGGAGUGCCACGCACGAGCGGAGCAAAAAGAAAGCAAGGGGAAUUCUUCUGGGGAGAAAUCCUUUGAUUGCGUAUUGAAUAUAGAUCCAUGUCUUUCUUGUUCCACUAUGUUAGUACUGUAGCUUAUGGGCAUGUACCACUGCCCCAAGAAAAUUUCGACUAGAAAGGAUAAGAUAGAAGAGGGAGUAAGAGAAAAUAUCUGAAGCUGUCAUUUUUAAAAAUUAUAGGUAAAAUAUGGCUCUUCCAAUGCCCACAGAGGCAAAGCAAUUAACAAGCACUUAAAAUCCUCUAGAAACCUUAUUAUGGAAUAGGCUCUUGCUAGUGG
rnacentral:lncRNA from 1 species